ensembl:snRNA U6 U6 spliceosomal RNA
AUGAUCGCUUCAGCAGCACAUAAACUAAAAUUGGAACUAUACGGAGAUUAGCAAGGCCCCUGCGCGAGGAUGACACCCAAAUUCGUGAAGCAUUCCACAUUUUC